UACAGAGGGUGCGAGCGUUGUUCGGAAUUAUUGGGCGUAAAGCGCUUGUAGGCGGCACGUCAAGUCGCGUGUGAAAUCCCCAGGCUUAACCUGGGAAGUGCGCGCGAAACUGACGAGCUUGAGUGCCGGAGAGGGUCGCGGAAUUCCCGGUGUAGAGGUGAAAUUCGUAGAUAUUCGGAAGAACACCAGUGGCGAAGGCGACUCGCUGGACAGACAUUGACGCUGAGGUGCGAAAGCGUGGGAGCAAACAGG
rnacentral:rRNA from 1 species